rnacentral:snRNA from 1 species
UUUGGCAGCACAUAUACUUAAAAAAAAAAAAAAUUGUUAAAACACAGAGAACACUAGCACAGCCCCUGCUGGAGGAGGACACACAAAUUCGUGAAGUGUUCUAUAUAAUU